GACGAACGCUGGCGGCGUGCUUAACACAUGCAAGUCGAACGGAAAGGCCCUGCUUUUGUGGGGUGCUCGAGUGGCGAACGGGUGAGUAACACGUGAGUAACCUGCCCUUGACUUUGGGAUAACUUCAGGAAACUGGGGCUAAUACCGGAUAGGAGCUCCUGCUGCAUGGUGGGGGUUGGAAAGUUUCGGCGGUUGGGGAUGGACUCGCGGCUUAUCAGCUUGUUGGUGGGGUAGUGGCUUACCAAGGCUUUGACGGGUAGCCGGCCUGAGAGGGUGACCGGCCACAUUGGGACUGAGAUACGGACCAGACUCCAACGGGAGGCAGCAGUGGGGAAUAUUGCACAAUGGGCGGAAGCCUGAUGCAGCAACGCCGCGUGCGGGAUGACGGCCUUCGGGUUGUAAACCGCUUUCGCCUGUGACGAAGCGUGAGUGACGGUAAUGGGUAAAGAAGCACCGGCUAACUACGUG
rnacentral:rRNA from 1 species